rnacentral:rRNA from 1 species
AUGUAAUGUAAUUCCUACAAGAUUAAUGCAUCGGAUCGCAUUAUAACUCCACAGUUAAGUGCACUUGGGAUAGAGUAGUAUUGGGAUGGGUGACCUCCUAGGAAGUCCUAGUGUUUUACAUC